rnacentral:rRNA from 1 species
CAGCAGCCGCGGGAAUACGAAGGGGGCUAGCGUUGUUCGGAAUUACUGGGCGUAAAGCGCACGUAGGCGGAUACUUAAGUCAGGGGUGAAAUCCCGGGGCUCAACCCCGGAACUGCCUUUGAUACUGGGUAUCUCGAGUCCGGAAGAGGUGAGUGGAAUUCCGAGUGUAGAGGUGAAAUUCGUAGAUAUUCGCAGGAACACCAGUGGCGAAGGCGGCUGACUGGUCCACAACUGACGCUGAGGUGCGAAAGCGUGGGGAGCAAACAGGAUUAGAUACCCGCGUAGUCCCUGUCUCUUAUCA